UACGAAGGGGGCUAGCGUUGCUCGGAAUCACUGGGCGUAAGGCGCACGUAGGCGGCUUUCUAAGUCAGGGGUGAAAUCCUGGAGCUCAACUCCAGAACUGCCUUUGAUACUGGGAAGCUCGAGUCCGGAAGAGGUGAGUGGAACUCCGAGUGUAGAGGUGAAAUUCGUAGAUAUUCGGAAGAACACCAGUGGCGAAGGCGGCUCACUGGUCCGGUACUGACGCUGAGGUGCGAAAGCGUGGGGAGCAAACAGG
rnacentral:rRNA from 1 species